CGGUUUGAUUUCCUAUUUAAACGCACUUUCUAGUGGCACAGAAGCAUUCUGCCACAAAGCCAAAUCAUUGCUGGCCUGAGAUCGAUAUCGCUGGCAGGAGGAUGGCAACAAAAGUGCUUUCUUGCUUGACUUGUGUAUUUGCCCUUCUGGCGUUGUUUUCACGAGAAUGUGAUGCAAUCGUUAUAGGUCCUGCAGGUGAAAGACCACCUGGAAAAAUAUUAUUUCAGAGAAAGGACAGCUUACCAGAAGAGAUGGAUGGUUUUACAGUAAAACGUCAGCUAUGUGAUGCUGCUGAACGUCUUGGUUGCUGAAGUGUACACCACGUGACGAACAGAACAUGAGCCAAAGAAAAUAAACCUAACAAUAAAGUUUCAUUUCCUCUAAGUAAUGCUAUCAAAUUAAACUGAAGGCAACUUAAACAAAGCCAGGUGAAAGAAGGAUAAAAAUGGCUAAGAAAUGUGCAAACUAAACAAGUAGCUUGUUCCUUGUGUGGAAUAAAAAAGCUCAUGAAGCUG